rnacentral:rRNA from 1 species
UACGUAGGGUCCGAGCGUUGUCCGGAAUUAUUGGGCGUAAAGGGCUCGUAGGCGGUCCGUCACGUCGGGAGUGAAAACUCGGAGCCUCAACUCCGAGCCUGCUUCCGAUACGGGCAGACUAGGGGUAGGCAGGGGAGAGCGGAACUCCUGGUGUAGCGGUGGAAUGCGCAGAUAUCAGGAAGAACACCGGUGGCGAAGGCGGCUCUCUGGGCCUUACCUGACGCUGAGGAGCGAAAGCGUGGGGAGCGAACAGG